CACAAGGCCCUUGUCGACAGUUUCGGUUACUACACUGCACCUGAGCUGUAUAGAAACGAAGCGUUCGACACGAGUAUGCAUGCACAUUCGGCUUCAUCCUUUACAAGGUUGGCCUCAUGUUGACAUGUAAGUUAACCACAAACAAUCUUUUCAUAUCCCG